rnacentral:misc_RNA from 1 species
GCGUAGUAUAUUCUCUGCAGUAAUCUUCAUGAGAAUUUGAGGAAGCUUCCAUCCGAGUGUAUAUGCAUUAUUCUUUAGGGAGAAGUGCUAUUUCAAUUUCUUGAAGUGAUUUUCCUUUGGUUUCCACCACAUUCCUUUUCACAAAUGCAACUGCAAUCAAGCAGAAUGUAGCGAAACCAGAGUACAGAAGCUGUGGCCCCAUCUUCUCCAACAAUUGUAGGAAGAGCAAUCCAACGAAAAAAUUUAUCACCCAAUGGACCGACAUGCAGAUCGCCAUAGCCUUUGCUCUUAUCCGACUGGGGAAAAUUUCUGGUAAAAGAAGACCUGGAACCGGACCAGCUCCGAGAGCAAACAUUAAGACAAACAUCAAUGUGCCACCUACUGACAAGUAUAGAGCUCCGGAAUCUGAGGAAUGUUCACUUCCAGCAACUACUUGGAGCGCCAUUGCCACAGCCAUCCCAGAAAAGCUCCAUAGAAGAAGCAGCUUUCUUCCUAAUCGAUCCAUUAAAAGCAUCGCGAUUAUAGAUCCUGCUAAAUUUGAUAUUCCCACGCAGACAUUUGCAAGGUUUGAU